rnacentral:lncRNA from 1 species
UCCAUUGAUUCUCCCCAUUAGGCAUAGAACUUUGCACAGUGCAGAGGCAUCAUCCAUUGUUUUUCUUUCGGUAUAGACUCGGAUAUCUCUGACAUCCCUGGACUCCCUCAGGAAUCCCUCACAGAUAGCUUCAGACACCUGAUCCAUCAGGGGCCCCUCAGCGAGGUCAUCACCGAGAGGUUGAUCAGAUCCAUCCAGGAGUUUUUUAAUGGCGAUGUACAGGGUGAACUUGAGAAACUGACAUUUCUAAGAUCUUUGUCUUCUCUCAGCCG